UACGUAGGGGGCAAGCGUUGUCCGGAUUUAUUGGGCGUAAAGAGCGUGUAGGCGGUUUGGUAGGUCCGUUGUGAAAACUCGAGGCUCAACCUCGAGACGCCGAUGGAAACCAUCAGACUAGAGUCCGGAAGAGGAGAGUGGAAUUCCUGGUGUAGCGGUGAAAUGCGCAGAUAUCAGGAAGAACACCCGUGGCGAAGGCAGGUCUCUGGGCUGUAACUGACGCUGAGGAGCGAAAGCAUGGGGAGCGAACAGG
rnacentral:rRNA from 1 species